rnacentral:rRNA from 1 species
UACAGAGGGUGCGAGCGUUGUCCGGAAUCACUGGGCGUAAAGGGCGCGUAGGCGGUCUCUUAAGCGUGUGGUGAAAGCCCGGGGCUCAACUCCGGGUCGGCCGUGCGAACUGGGGGACUGGAGCUUGUCAGAGGCAGGCGGAAUUCCGGGUGUAGCGGUGGAAUGCGUAGAGAUCCGGAAGGAACACCAGUGGCGAAAGCGGCUUCCUGGUCCAGCACCGACGUUCAGGCACGAAAGCGUGGGGAGCAAACAGG